AGCAGACAAGAAAGGUAAAAGGGUCAUGACGCAACAAGUGAAGAUUUAGGGUUUUUUGACGAUUUAAAAUCCUUAUCCUAGGGUUUUGUAACCUCUGUUUUUUUUGUGAGAACGAUUCUGAGAAGGAAACAUGGCAUCCAUAGACGAGGAAGAGAGGGAGAAGAUAGAGCAACAACUCGCGUCCCUCACGAAGCAGUGUAUGAACACAGAAUUAGACGCUGACUACAUUCGUACUAUGAUUUUACCUGAGUUCUUUCCUAAUUUCUGGGUUAGAUCGAUGGCACUGGAUCCCAGAAACUAUAGGCAACUGCUAGAUACAACUGUGGAGAUUGCAAACAAAGUUGGUGCUGCUGAUAUAAUAGGGAGAUUAUUUGAGGAUCUUAAAGAUGAGAGUGAACCAUAUAGGCGGAUGGUAAUGGAGACAAUUGGGAAGGUUCUUACGAACUUGGGUGCUUCUGAUAUUAAUAAUCGUUUGGAAGAGGAGCUUAUGGAUGGAAGCUUAUAUGCUUUACAACAGCAGACCAGUGAUGAAGAUAACGUUAUGCUCAAUGGGUUUGAGGCAGUGGUUAAGGCUCUUGGGCUUAGAGUGAAACCCUAUCUUCCCGUGAUAUAUGGUAGCA